rnacentral:lncRNA from 1 species
AUGUUUCACUGUUCUCAGAAAUUAAGUCCUAUACUGCCUGUUGUCCAAUGUCUGAAAACAGUUGUCUUGUGUUUUGCCUGGUUUUCUAGUUGUUCCUCUAUCAUAGAUGGAAUCCAUAAUAAAUAUGAUGCCAAUGCCAAAAUCUGCUACUAUAUUACUCUUUAAAGCAGAGACUGUAUAGGAAGAGGAAAAAAGAAAUCAGUGUAACCGUGGGGGCAAGGCAGGAAGCAUUCUGUUUAUGUAACACAGACGUGGCAUUCUUUACUUUCUAACUUAGGACAUUUGUGAUUUGAAGAAGAGACACCUGAAUUUUCAAUAUGUUAGUCUUUGUUGGAAUAAUUGGCUCUUCUCAUUCUUUAGUCAUCAAAUAAUACUUAUUAAAUACCAACUAAGUGCUUUGUGCCCUGCUAGGCAUUACUUCUCUUUAUUCUACUUCUUAACAGUUGGAAUAUGCCAAACAAAUGAAAUAAAAAUAGUUUUCCUAUUCUAGUUACAGGUUGGAUUCUUGGAUUUAUCUCCCAAGCUUUGACAUUCAGAAACUGAAAGUGGAAUAUAGUGUAUUCUCAGAUGUAAAGUUGAUCUCAUUUCCUCACUGGCCAUCUGUUUAUUUGCGUCUAAGAAUAACAAAACUUUCAUAGUCAUAUCUGUAUUUUUUAAUUACUAAAAAUAAUGAAUGGACUGAACCAUGCUUGCCCCACUUUUGAAACAAUUCCUUCUAUAGACUGUUGCAGUAGGAAGCUAAUACCCCUGAUUAAGAAUAAAGACCAGACCUACAUAAGCAUAUGUUGUAUUGGUGUAUCUGAAGUCAUGAGGAUGUGAUUAAUGGUCCUUAAGAGUUUUAAUUUGGCGUGUCUUAAUGCCUAAAUCUCACUUAAGCUUGGUUGCAAAGCCUGGCAAAUCAGUCUUCUGUACAUGGCAAGCUAAGAUGUGGCACCAUCUUCUUGAGGUUUCAUAUCCUAAACCUGUCUGUCCUUACAGGUUAAAUUCAAAGGAUAGGGCCAAGCUUGAUUUGCUGUAGUCAUAGUGAAUCAUCACAGAUCCAUUCUUAGUGCAGAAGAGUUAAAUAAUUCCUUGGCCAAGAGCAUGGUGCCUUCCCCAGACCAAUUUCUAACAGUGUCCUCUGUUAGAUCUUUAAGUUAAUAAAUUCUUUUAUUAGAUUUUUGGGUCAGAAAAACAGACUAUGCUUGUACUCAGGAGCCCAGAAAUACAUAAUAUAAUUGACUAAUUCCUGUCUUUGAGGUCUUAACGUGGUUUCAUGUGCCUUUUGAUUUGUUUUUACAUGUGGAUCAUUUUCCCUUAACACUUUAAUAUGAUACAAUUUUUGUCUAUCGUUUUUCUUAAAUAGGAGGGAGAAAAUUUUUUUUAGUAGGAAAAUAUCUGGUGGUAAGUGGCAUCUUUUUAUUCCAUGUGGGAUGCAGAAGUUUCUCCCAAAAACUGAAGUGACCUGCUUUUUGCAGAUAGGACCCCUGUAUUUCUCCCAUAUUACUUUAUAGCUGGUAGAUGGUAGGGCUGUACACAGCAAAUGGGUUUGAAUGCAUGAUGGUUUUCUGGUGGAGCUGAGAUAAUUAGUAUUAUGAAGCCACGCUUCUGAUUGUGAGAAUGAGAAC